rnacentral:rRNA from 1 species
GACGAACGCUGGCGGCGUGCUUAACACAUGCAAGUCGAACGGAAAGGCCCCUUUGGGGGUUCUCGAGUGGCGAACGGGUGCGUAACACGUGAGUAACCUGCCCUUGACUUCGGGAUAACUUCAGGAAACUGGGGCUAAUACCGGAUAGGAAUCCUUGCUGCAUGGUGGGGGUUGGAAAGCUUCGGCGGUUUUGGAUGGACUCGCGGCUUAUCCGCUUGUUGGUGGGGUAGUGGCUUACCAAGGCUUUGACGGGUAGCCGGCCUGAGAGGGCGACCGGCCACAUUGGGACUGAGAUACGGCCCAGACUCCUACGGGAGGCAGCAGUGGGGAAGAUUGCACAAUGGGCGGAAGCCUGAUGCAGCAACGCCGCGUGCGGGAUGACGGCCUUCGGGUUGUAAACCGCUUUCAGCAGGGGCGAAGCUUGUGGUGACGGUACCUGCAGAAGAAGCACCGGCUAACUACGUG